CCUCCUCCACCGCUGAAUCAUCCUCCUCCGCCGCCGCCGCCACCAUCUCCGCCCCCAAAGCCUCCGCCGCCCCCUCCUCCUCCGCCGCCGCCACCAUCUCCGCCCCCAAAGCCUCCGCCGCCCCCUCCUCCGCCACCGUCGCCUCCAUAUCCACCGCCGUCACCCCCUCCGCCAGCGCCGUCUCCGCCUACGUAGCCGCCAUCGUCACCUCCAUCAGGACCAUCUUCUCCCCCACCUCCGUCUCCCCCUCCCCCUCCCCCUCCGCCUCCCUCUAAAUCUCCCCCUCCACCUCCUCCGGCAGAUUUGAAACAGCGGCUGGCGAUGGCAAGCAUGGCGGCCACAGCGAUCAUAAUCGAGGCCCCGAUAGCAAAAAUUUUACCCGGGUGGAGCAUCGCAGCUAGUAGCUGGUGAUGUGCAAUCGGGUUGGCUUCUCAAUCGAUUGUCCUUGAGCCGGUCGGCCAGUAUUUGAAGGCCUCGAAACCGUGCCGGCAGCAGAGAAAUGUCUGCUCUGUUGACUUGUUCAUCGUCAUGCUUUGUUCUGCACUCCUAGUAACCGCUGAAGUCUUCGAUCGAAUGCUAUUUUUAUGUGGAUUGUCAAGUUUGAACUGGUUUCCAAGGUUGUAUUACGCGUGAUAACUCACCCGCCUGGCUGCAGACUGCACUUUUCUUCCUGCUUGCGUUGAAGUUUUCUUACUCCGUAUUAAACUCAGUUGCUUCAAGAUCCCACCCCUGUGACGUGAUUGACUCCUUGUCCCGAACAAGAAGAGACCAAGCAACGAGACAUCACCAGAUGGGGAAUAGGCUUGUAUGACAAAUUUCAAGGUUCCUCCCAGUGGUACAGAAACAACCUCCCUCGACAGAGAAAGGUAACCAUGUGAACAAUCAGGCAUUGCUUUACCACGAGAAUCAAGCAACACAAUUUCCCUCGAUGAGGGAUCAGUGAAAGAAGUUACUUCACUCCCAGUCGCCAUAGCUGUCUGUGACGGUGAGGAGCAAGCAACUCGACCGCCAUAUUCAGAAGGCCAUGACUUAUCUCUAACACGGACACUCAAGAUAGUGGCCUGGACCGCUUGCUCAAUUCGUUCCAUGCACAUUUCUAUUUUGCAGAAGCAGUUCUCAAGGCAAAUGGUAGACACACCGGUUUCCCACGCA